AUCAGAACUCUCAUCUUCCGUCUCACGCCCUUGUCUCUCAAACAUCAACACCUUCACUUCAAUUCCAUAAACCCAUUACCCCAUGCUCCAAAAUCACAUGCAAUUCCUUCUAUGGCUUCCUAAUACCAUUAGGAACAAGGUAAACACUUGAAAAUCUCUCAUAUCCCUCUCUUAAGCCACGCCAACUCUCCUUCUCAUUCUCAUGAGUUCACUGAUGUCAACCUCCAUGGAUUUAAGCUGCAUGUGUUGGAUUCUAGCAAUUCAAGAGUUGUUGGAUUACAAGGAAUUUAAGGUAAAAACAAUACUCACAAAUUCUCUUCUUUCUUUAAUUAAAUUGAAGCUUUAGCCCUAAAUCCUUAUUCCUUCAUUCCUGUGGAUUACAUGUAAACAAAUACAAACUUGUGGGUGUUGGAGAAAUUAAGUAAAACUAGAGAAUCAAGAAGAUGGGAAGAAUGGUGUGAAACUCGUAUUCUGGAUAGGCCUUCAUUUAAAAGAAAAUUCUCUAUGCGGAUUUGAAGUACCUUAUAUGCAAAACCUGCAUUUUGGUGAGCUCCGAAGAUGUCGAUAGUGCGUGUGCGGUUCAACUUCAAUUUCAGGUAACAGGUUGUUCGUUCAAGAAGCUGAGGACUGGACGAAUCGGCGAGAUUAUAGAAAUCUGUUCAUGAUUACCUUCCAGUUUAAGAAACUAUUAUAUAGGAAUAUGCCACAUGUACAUGUAUUUAUCAGUUACCAUGGUUCUAAUGUAAAGUUGUUAACACUUACAUUAUGACAGUCUAUUCAGUUUAGUUAAACCAUGUAAUGUUGGUAUUUUCCUCAUACUAUCUUGUGGAGAACCCAAUUUAUUCCGCAAAAUUUUAAUGUAUCCUAAUUUAGUUAUGUA